rnacentral:rRNA from 1 species
CCGGCACGGGUGAGUAACACGUAUCCAACCUGCCGUCUACUCUUGGACAGCCUUCUGAAAGGAAAGAUUAAAUACAAGAUGGCAUCAUGAGUUCACAUGUUCACAUGAUUAAAGGUAUUCCGGUAGACGAUGGGGAUGCGUUCCAUUAGAUAGUAGGCGGGGUAACGGCCCACCCAGUCUUCGAUGGAUAGGGGUUCUGAGAGGAGGGUCCCCCACAUUGGAACUGAGACACGGUCCAA